rnacentral:rRNA from 1 species
ACAUCAGCAGCCGCGGUAAUACGGAGGGUGCAAGCGUUAAUCGGAAUUACUGGGCGUAAAGCGCACGCAGGCGGUCUGACAAGUCAGAUGUGAAAUCCCCGGGCUUAACCUGGGAACUGCAUUUGAAACUGUCAGGCUGGAGUCUUGUAGAGGGGGGUAGAAUUCCAGGUGUAGCGGUGAAAUGCGUAGAGAUCUGGAGGAAUACCGGUGGCGAAGGCGGCCCCCUGGACAAAGACUGACGCUCAGGUGCGAAAGCGUGGGGAGCAAACAGGAUUAGAUACCCCUGUAGUCCCUGUCUCUUAUAA